rnacentral:rRNA from 1 species
ACGGGUGAGUAACAUUUAGGAAUCUGCCUAGUAGUGGGGGAUAGCUCGGGGAAACUCGAAUUAAUACCGCAUACGACCUACGGGUGAAAGGGGGCGCAAGCUCUUGCUAUUAGAUGAGCCUAAAUCAGAUUAGCUAGUUGGUGGGGUAAAGGCCCACCAAGGCGACGAUCUGUAACUGGUCUGAGAGGAUGAUCAGUCACACCGGAACUGAGACACGGUCCGGACUCCUACGGGAGGCAGCAGUGGGGAAUAUUGGACAAUGGGGGCAACCCUGAUCCAGCCAUGCCGCGUGUGUGAAGAAGGCCUUUUGGUUGUAAAGCACUUUAAGCAGGGAGGAGAGGCUAAUGGUUAAUACCCAUUAGAUUAGACGUUACCUGCAGAAUAAGCACCGGCUAACUCUGUGCCAGCAGCCGCGGUAAUACAGAGGGUGCGAGCGUUAAUCGGAAUUACUGGGCGUAAAGCGAGUGUAGGUGGCUCAUUAAGUCACAUGUGAAAUCCCCGGGCUUAACCUGGGAACUGCAUGUGAUACUGGUGGUGCUAGAAUAUGUGAGAGGGAAGUAGAAUUCCAGGUGUAGCGG